rnacentral:misc_RNA from 1 species
UAAGCAAUUAAACAUCAAAAUUGUGUCAGAUGGUAAAAGCAAAAGAUUUGCAUGAGCUUAAAAAAAUGCCUCAGAUUAGCAUUUUGGCACAUUCCUCAUCGCAAGCAACAACCCAUGUAGGAGAAAACUCUACACAGAGCGCAAAAAUUGUUGUUGCCGUUCAUGUCCAAAAGUUCUCCUCAUCGGCAGUAACAAGUCAAGCAAAUCAAUUCAAUUAUAGUUAAAG